AAAUCCGGGACCCAAGGAAGGGACUUCCUGGGAACCCCCCUAACUCGAGCCCCUGUUCCCGCCUCUCAUGCGCUACCGUGGCCUCCGUCCCCUUUGUCAGCUGUCCACGUGCAGAUUGUUGAGCUCCAACCACCCUUAGCAGCGCUUUAAAUAGAGGCCACUUCGUUGCCCAAUCAAGACAGACUGGCUGCAUCCACAGUAAGGAUUUGAGGGAAAUCUCCGCAGCUCCACUAGUGCUGGUUUGAAAGGCACUGGUGCCGUGGUCUGUUGUGCACUGCCGGUAAACUGAGAGCGGCGCACAGAGCGAUCCCUGAAAGCGCAAAGACAUGGGGACUCGAGGAUUAAGCUACCCCUUUCACAUCGUGCCUGUCUCACUAAUAGCGCCUCCCAAACCAGCAAGGCAACUGCAAAUGAAACCAGAGUUGCCUGAACGCUGGACACUGACAAAGCAGAAGAGCCAUAAAUGAUAGUGCUCAGACUCCAGUAUGGAUUAGGGCUCCACUGUGCUAGCACUGUGCAAACACACAUAAACGCUCGUGAGGGCAUCCUGUGCCAAAACCAUUCAAAAUUAUGCACAUGGUAUUUUAAAAUUCUGCAAGUUUUAUUUGUCAAAUAAAUGUGCAGGCUGGGAACCACGGCCAGUGGGAGCUACGGGGGUGGUGUAUGCGGGUGGAGGCAGUGCACACUGUGCAGAGCUGCCUGGCUGUGCCUCCGCCCAGAGCCAAAACAUGUUGCCGCUUCCUGGAGCUGCCUGAGACUAAUACCGCUACAACUCUGAAACUUGAGAUGGAACUGGGGCUGCACUGCUUCUGAGGAGACAGCAGAUUGGUGCAUAUGAUAAUUAAAGAAGGGGACUUGCUCCAUAGUGAAAAUCAGGCAUGACCUUGUUGCCACAUGCUGAAGUAAUGGGAUAACACACAGUUCCUAAUAUCCCCCAUCCCGUCCCAGUUUUUCACAUUUGCUAUUGAUCCCUGAAUUGAUGCCUGUACUCCACCUUGGCAGAAGGAGUAAGUGGAGUCUACAGGGGAGCCGCAGCAGUCGACUCACCGACGUGAGGACGGCCAGGUAAGUCGAACUAAAAUACUUUGACUUCAGCUACGCAAAUAGCGUAGCUGAAGUUGUGUAUCUUAGUUCGAACACCCUCCCCAGUAUAGCCCAGGCCUAAGAUUAUACUCAAAGAGCUUAUUUUAUCCCUCUGGCAUGUUUUUCUAACCCUUUAAUCAUUCUCAUGGCUCUUCUUUGAGCCCUCUCCAAUAUAGGCACAUCCUUCUUGAAUUGUGAACAUCAGAAUUCCAUACAGAGGAAGAAUAAUCUCUAUUCCUGCUUGAGGUUUCCCUGUUUAUGCAGCUAAGUAUCACAUUAGAACUCCCAGUAUAAUGUGGUGGCGAAGAGGACAUGUUCAGCUGACUACCCACUGCAGUGCCCAACAGUCACUUCUUCCCAAAAUAGAGUUCUCCAUCCCGUAGGUCACUGAAAAAUGUUAAAUAGCAUAGUGCCAAGAAUUGUUUCCUGCAGGACCUCACUUGAGAAACUCCCUAUUGAGUCCCUGCUAACAAUUACAUUUUGAGCAUAUUAUAGGAGCAUGGUGCUGUGACAGGGUGUACAUAACAAAAAUAUGAACGUUCAUCUGAGUAAUAUGCGGAUUUGGUAUGAGGUGCCAGAAGUUCUUGUUGCUGUGAGUUUGGGUUGGCUCCAUCACCACCAAGUGACUCUUACUUUUCAAGAUCACAAAAGCAAAGGGCCAGUUUUUCAAAUGUGGGCAAUUAAAACAUGCAUCUGCUGUGUGUGGAAGGGACCCUAUCACAAUUGAAUAGAAAUUUGCAAAUGCCUAUUGUACUGGAACUGCAAAUGGAUUUUUGUCUGGGUGCAUCUUCUGUAGCACUGAUUUAUCCUUCAUAAAUCCUUCAUUUAUCCUUCACUCAGAAAUGCUCCUCUCCAACCUUCAAACUUGCUAGUGCAGGGUGAGUAAGUUUUUUGGCCCAAGGGAAAUUGGGUGGGGAAAUUGCUUGCAGGGCCAUGA